AUAUCCGUUACGUAAAAAAUUAAUACUAGUAUACAAUAGAGAGGACCUUGGGUUUGUUUCAAUGUCUCAAUCGUAAUCCACAGCAAAACAACCCUGGGGAGGCAGAGCCCCACCGCUGGGGAGCCGCAGCCCCACGGGUGCCCUGCUGCGUGCCCUACCGGGCUCACACAAAGUAGGAAAGUAACAGUUCCUUUAGGCUGGAAGAUUCCAAACGAGAAAGGGCUUGAAUUACAAAAAGAAAAGAGAAGCCAUUUCAGCACAGUAUUUUAGCACACAGAAAACGGAUGUACUAAGUGGAGCUAGUUGAACUUUGUUAAUGGCAGUCACCAUCAUGAACAUUAGCUUCGGGCCUUAUGAGUAGCCUCAGAGGAUAAUCAGGAGUAUAAUAUCUUGCAGUGUGAGGAGGUUGUGGAUGACUGGUCUAAUAAGGAUGCGAACGGAAAAGAGAACCAUUUUUUUCAAAAUGGGUGACCUGUUAGAGAUCUUCUGUUAGCCAGGAAAAAGAAAGUGGAGGGGAGGGAGUGCCAGUCUCUGCUUUUAACCUUCUCUUAAGAGUAGCAAGGGUUAUGAUGGGCAUGUGGGAGAUGGAUCUCUGCCCCCACUCUGCCCCCAGCUACCUUUACUCCCUAAGUUACUCAGACCCCUCAGUGUGUUUGGAAACAAAUCAAAAUGCACCACCUCACUUCGGCAGGGAGAAGAAAAAGGAAAAAAAAAAGGGAAAAAACCCCAGACGUGCCUCUCAGACUAUCGGUGAUAUUACAGUUUAGACUGUCUCCUGAUGUUGUCACACAGUUUAAACAGAAAGAAUGGCAAAACUGGAACCACAUGAAGCCAUACCUGAAAGUGCCCCUAGAGCAGCUACCCAAACCCACUCUUCAAGUUCACUGUCCCAAAAAUGCAGUAGUUAAAUCUUUAACCAUCACAAUGAAGAUGCCAAGCUAAUACAUCCUUCCUAAGUGUUAGUUGUCCAAAGUAUGAAAAUAUGCAAACAGAACUUGUUGCUGGACUAGCAAAUUCAAGGUUAAUUUGCAGAGCCAUACAGAGAGCUUUGAAAAUGUGAUUUAAAAAUGAAAUGGAAGAUGUAGGGCAUUUUGUAUUAAUUCAGACAAGAAAUACUAAAGAGUAAAUACAUUUGAGACACUGAUACAAAUAAGAGUGCUGCUUUCUAAGCUCUCGCUAGAUUAACUUCAGUUUUCCAGCUUACUGAGCCUUGACAUUGCAUACCCUUAAGAUCUGUAAAUCUUUUAAGGUGCUUUACCAUUUUCUUAAGGGAGUCACACAUUUGCAAAAUUCACUAUCAGACAAAUGUAUCUGUCUGGAUGUAAAGGUUGUAUUUCAAUAGGAAUCAUAUACAUCGCUUCAGUUCUUGGUUUAAUGAUACCUGAUCCAGUCCAGCUAAUUAUAGGUAAUUUUGGCUAGGGUAAUGAGUAGCCAGAAGUUCAGGUAGUUCUGCGGGCAGUUCUCACAGCACCUUAUUUCAUGUCCAGUGAGCUAAGGACACUUGCUGAGAGUGCAGAACAUGUCUUGAAAAAUGAGAUACUGGUUUAUAUGUAUCAAGUUACUUCAGGGAUUCAAGGAAAGCACAUCAUGAAGGUAUUAAUUUGUCAACCCCUUUCUUUCCGAGAAGCUAUUAAUUUUUGAUUUGUUAAUAUUAUGUUAGUGUUUACAGUUUUCCUAAAGAAAAUAAUAUCAGGACUUCUCCUACCCUUUAGAAAUAAUCUUAUUAUUUAUUGUGAUUAAGAAGGUUUAAAUGUAGCAAUCUAUGCCCACUUAAUUUAUUGGAUCAUUUCAUUCUAUUCCAUUUUCUCUAUACUGUUAUCUUACUUGUACAUUCUAAACAGGUAUUGCAGAUAAAGCUGAGGAAAAUUGCACCUAUUUUCUGCCCUAUUUGCUAAUAUAAUAUUUACACCACUGUUGUAACUAGCUAACCCAUUAUCAUGAACUUCAUCUGUUUACAUCAGGUCUUAAUUUUAUCAUUUUCUGUAACUGGCUGUGCUGAUUAAUUUAACAGUGUAAGGUGUGUCUGAUUACUUCCUUUGGAAGACAGAGAUUAUGACUGCAUCUACUGUAAGCAUGAAUCUCAGGAAGUGUUUUAUUCAACAUAUAAUGCUUGUUGUAGCUGUACUUUAGAGCUGGAGUUUUUUGUUAGAUUCAGUAUCUUGAUUUUUCACCUCUGUAGUCCUGUCCUUAUUUGCUUGGCUUUAUAUUUAGAGGUUAACCACAACAAAUGUUUAAUGCUAGAGAAUUUUAGUGUAACUGAAAAGAUGCAAUAUGGGUAAAGUGAAUUGAUCUCUUUUCUAGCACAGGUUAUAUAUGAGGUUUAAAUCUACCCAUAAAGAAGAUGUGGGAGGGGAAAACAGUGGUUUAUAAUUAACUCCGUUAAAGAGUGGGCUUUAGCAAAUAACACAGGCAGAAUGGAAAAAUACCUCUCUAUGCAGGGAGAGUUCUCUGCCAGAAUAGCAAAGAAACCUAUUUUAUUAUUUUUUUUUUAGCUUUGCCAAGAUCUAGAAGGUUUCAAUCUCUUAGUAAUGUAAAAGUUAAAUUAGUGUGACUUCUUCGAGUGUACAUUUAAUAAGAGUUGUCCCAGAGAGGCCAGGGAGCAAGGUGUAUGCUGACUCUCCUGUCUUUGCACAUACUCGUGCCUACUUCAGCCAAGCAGACUAGUCCAAAAGAGGCCCAUUUGUAGAGCAAAAGUUGCGUGGAUGUCAAAUGCUCAGCACCAAUGCACAUUUCAGGGGUUUUACUUUGCAAUAGCUUUGGUCUGAACAUACGGGUUGGAGCACACCUUCCUGUCUAAUUUUCUCCCAAGGGAAUCCAGGUCACGUGCUCUGAGAUGACUCUAAAAUGAACCAAAGCACAGUACCUGGGGACAAUCAAUUUGGCUCAUUUCUGAGCCAAACUAAAAUGCUAACACAGACAUGCACUUGGCCAGUUAGAGUGCUCUUUGCAGGAACGAUCUCUCUGAAGGAAGUUUUGCAGGAGACCUUUGCAUAAACAAGCGGGGAUCAAGCCAGGUUUUCUCUUUUUGCAGUCCGGUAUCCUAAUCACAAGCUAGAGUGUCACUGGUGUGUGUUUCUUUCUCUGUUGCUAAGAGACACUAAUUCUUUUCACAAUUUCAACAGAAAGAGUGGAGGCAGUAGUUCCUUACAAACCCCUAAUCUGGCAAUCAGAUUAUCUUUUCGUAGGUGAGCUAAGUAGGUUAAAUCUCUUCAGAGCCUCUAAACUGUCUCUCUCAUCCUGAAAGCUAUUAACACGUUGGCACUGUGUCUGCUUCCCUGCAGUCUUAUGUCAAAAUGGCUAAAUGUUACACGUCUCUGCCUUGCUUUGCUAUAUUCACAUGUCUAAAAUAGAAAGUCCCCGAUCAUCAUAUUGGCUCUUAGGAACACUUAACCCUCUCCAUAUACUAUGGAGGAAGCUCAGCCCCUUCUCAGAGAGAACCAGCCACGACAAUGCUCAGUUGUGGACCAGUACCUUAAUUCCUGCAAACAGUAAAAGCAGCUAUCCCAUCAGCGGGUCUUAACUGUCAUCCUUAUUCCAAAAGGUCAGUCAGUCAUCCAAAACUCAGGUUUAUAACCACUAUUAAAAAUAGCAAAGUAUUUUCAAGCUGACUGACUAUAAAAAUGUACUAAAGGAAUUCUUCAGGUUUACCUGUGGCACAUUCCAAGGAAUUGGAGUUUCAAGUCCUUAACAGUAAAGUUUACUUUUUUGCUUUAUAUCAUUCUACUUCAUGUUGGAGACCAUACUGAAAACCAAAAUAAUUUUGAUAACCUGUCUCCUAAAACCUAGUGAAACAAAAGCCACAUUACAAAGCUAACAGUUUUACAUAUAAACUGAAAACCUGACUGACUUUAAAUAAAGUUUUAAAUAAGGCAUGGCCAGACUUGACUAGGUUCUUUCAAAGAAAAUACUUUUGACAGAAAAUCAAAGGAGAGCAAAGUUAGCUGAGGCAUUUCUGUUCUACUUUAUUUCUGGUUUUAUAUGGCUGAGCAUCAAACUGAUUAGAGGGUUUUUGUGUUUUCUUUACAAUCACUACUGAAAUACAGGAUGCAAAAUACAACUUUUUCAGAGGGCAGGGGAGAGAGGAGUCUUCUUUCAGCAACUGAAACUUUAAAAAAGUGUGUCAAAACUAGAUAUUAGAAACUUGUACGUUUUCCUUUCACUUCUGUUAUGAAGGAGCAGAUUCUUUGUUUCAAAUCAGAAAGAAACCCAGAAUACUUCAUAACUGAGAUUCUAUCAAAAGAAAAAUAUUUCAAAACAGUAUUUUAAUUGUUGUGUGUCAAACUAGGAGGAUUAACAUAUUAAGGAAAUCAUAGAAGUAGAGCAGAAAAGCAUGAAAAUGCUUUGGAUGGGGCUUUGAGCAGCCUGCUGUAGCGGGAGGUGUCCCUGCUGAUGGCAGGGGGGUUGGAACUCUGUGAUCUUUGAGGUCCCUUCCAACCCAAACCAUCCUGUGAUGCUACGAAUGCUGCCAUUAACACCCUAAGAAGGUAUUUUCUUUCAUUAAUCAUACAUUGCAUCCCUCAGUCCAGCAUCUUGGUACUCAAACCGAUACGACUCUAUUAUAAAAUCUCAGGGGUUUCAUUGAUUAUUUACCACUAAACUUGCUAUAUAAACACAGUCAUUGGAAGUUAGUGAUUCCACAGGGAAUUAUUCUGAAGAAUACCUGGAAAAAUAAGGUUAGCGCAUUUUCUUCUCAUCUGAAAGAGUCAGUAUUACCCAGUAUGCAUACUGCUCCAUAAACUACUAUGUUACCACUGCCUAAUGUAGUAGUGCUGACACAACUGCAGCUGUGAGUUGUACUGUAAGCAUCUAGGUAUGUACUAAUUACUCCUAUAAAUAUACAUGAUUUCAGAAGCGAUAAGAGUUCCAUGACAGUAGACUAGCACAAUAUACUUAAUUUCACAGAGUUUUUUGUGAAGCAUGGAAGAGAAUCCAGAGGAGCUGGCAUUUUACAGUGGCCAUUACAAAUAAUGGAGCUGCAAAACCUUUCACAACAAUCUUAGUGCACAUGGGUAUUACAAGGCAGGAUACAUGAAGUAAGAAAGGAAUGUUUUUAGGAAACAAUUGCAAUUGCAACAGAAUUGCACUGCCAUUAAGACAGAAGUUGCUACAACAGGCAGAGUCCUCCUGUUUCUCAUACCUUUACAACUUUUCAUUUAUUUCAUGCUCUUUAAAUGUUUUUUAAAUCCAUUUUUGUGUUUCCAACCACUUGUGCUUCAAGAAAAGUUUUGCAUUUGUGUUUGUAGUUUUGAGCUUGUAUGCUGUAAGACUCCGACCAAGCCUUAGAUGGGUGGGUUUUAACUCCCAUGCUGUACUCCACAGCGCGGCACCCCACCCGUUGGCUGUACACAAAAGGCGGUUUUAAAUUGACGGGCGAGUUAACCUUCCAGACCUCAGUCUGGAGCAUGUGUAAUUAUGCUAAGUCAUUGUUAGAAGUUAUUUUAAAAGGAAAUGUUGCCUGCCUUCUGAGGUUUUUCUACAUACAUAUAGUUUGGGCAUGUCAGCCUUUCUUUAAAACUACAGCAUUGCUCUUGAUAAAAUAAGCAGCUCUAGCACUUUAAAGGACAGAAAAUAAGAGAAGGAGCUAGGCUUUUCCAAGUUUAUUCUCCACCUUGCCACUUUGUAUACAGCUUAGGUUAUCCUGGGUCUCGUUAUUUAAAUUUGUAAGAUUAAGCUUUCAGUUUUUAAACCUGGGCAGCUGUUGCAGUGAUUGUUUACAUGAAAAUGUAAGUUCUUCUGUAAACUGUUGAAUCUGAGAUACCAGAGAGUUUUACACAUUUUUCUUUGUUACCUUUUAGAGAUAGGAGGAGUGUGCUGGUUUAACUGAGCACAGAACCUAACCUGUAGUAAAUAUCGUUUACACUUUAUUUGUAUUUUCUCAAGACUAAAGUUACUUUGGUUGUCAGUUGAAACAUCUAAUAUUGAACUUAUUGCCAUUCCUUCCUUUUCUCAAAGGCUCUCCCAAAUUAUUACCUCUAACAAAUAUUUUAAUGAAUAAACCACCAAAAAAGUUUGUCUUUAUUAAACCUUAUUUUUACUAUAAAAAUAUGAGCCACUUCAAACAUGCAUAGUCCCAUCCUACUCUAAGUCAGUCAGUUUUAAACCCUACCCUAAUCAGGCUGUCCCAUCUCUGCUUCUAGUGCCUACUCUUGAUGGAACUUUUUUCUGGCCACAGGCCCCUUACAAGAUGUUCUGUUAACAGAACAGGAAGUUCCUUAUCUUCUAAAAUUGUGUGACUCCAAAUUUAAUUAUAUGCUUUAAGUGGAUAGAAAAUAUGCCUUGCUCAAAGAGAAAUUACUUGGGCUGGUACAAGAAAUUUCAGGGCCUAUGGAAUACAAGUCAGAUGAGAUGAUCUGACCUUCAGGUCUUUGAAUAAACGACAAGUGAUUUAAGAAGCUGAAGAAGAAAAUGUGAUGGGCAGAGGCCAGAACCAAGUGAUGAAAAACAAAACUCAAAGACCCUAAAAAUCCCUACCAGUAAACAGUUACACUUGUUUCAAUGGCAACCCUUCUCUAAGGGAUUGUGCUGCUCAGUGUUCUCACAGAAGUUCCUAAGGCCAGUAUUUCAAGUAAAAUUAGGACUGCUGCAGCUCCUCCUCUUCCUUCAACUUGCAGUCAUAAUGAUCAUAAAAGGACCCACCUAAUCCCAAUCCUUCCAGUCGCAGGAUAAUCAGCUAAUUAUGCACAUUACAGAAAACUGAAGGGGGAAUGCAGUAUAUGUGCUAUGGUACAAAAUACUUCUUUCUUUAUAUGACGAAGUGAUCAUUUAGUGGUUAUGUUAUUUAGUGCUUACUUUCUGUCCAAAGGAAGAUGCAUUCCUUUCCUUAGGAUCCAGGCUGAAGUCAUUACAGAGAAUCAACUGCUCUGCUUUACGUUUUAAUUCUACUUCAUUGCAUGCAUAUGCAAAACAUGUUUGCACACAUCCAUAGGCAAACUAUCUGUUGCUUCAACAAAAAUUAAUAAAUGAAAAUGCUACUUGAUUGAAGUGAAGAAAGUGAACCUUCAGCAGCAUCUCAGCACACAAUUAUCCUCGAACACCCAUGCAUUUGAAAAAGUGAUGGACAGUACUGACUUUUUCCUUUUAAAAUAAAUAUUAUACAGGUGGUUUUUUUGGUGGUUGUCAGAAAGCACAAAUUAAACAAAAAUUCAGUAUGAUAUUUUACAGAAUAAAUAUUAAUUAGAAUUGCUUAUGUAAUUAAGUUUGGGUAUACCUUGCCUUGACCCUCCGUUCUAAAUAAGGUUUGGACACAAGCAAAGAUUAUCUGUUCCUGGCAAAUCCUUCCUAGGGAUUACAUGGUCCAUAAACUAAUAAGGGUUUAUCUUUUCCUCUUUCUGAGAACAGAAAUAACUACAGCAACAUGAAAACAUUAACAUGGCAUUAAAGAGUUCCAAACAAUUAGGAAACUAAAAGGUUAGUAUUCUCACAGCAAUAGCAAAUCACCAUUACGUUCAAGUAUGUAGAUCUUAUGUGCAGACCACACAUAAAAUUCAGAGUACUCCAUGUAUGGAGUACUGUUCUGCUCUGUGAAGUAAAAGUGUCAAGUAUGCAUAAACUCUUUAUUUUAAAAGAUAAUCUGAAUAUGGUCAACAUAAAAUUUUGUAUGCAGCACCAUAUUAUUCCUAUUUUUUGGGGUGCCAUAGUCACAAAACAAAGCUAGACAAAAUAUCUACCAUGCAGCAUAAUUUAGAUGAGAAUACUGAUGGUGAAAUAACUGAGUUUAUUUAUAACUAAUAUAUAAAAAAUUAGAAUGCACUAAGUUUUACUCUAUAAAAAGGUACAAAUACGUUUAGUACUUGCCAUCUGAAAGAGCUUCAUGAUCACUGUAAAAUGGCUAUUUGAGAAUCUGUCUGUUUAUUUGUGCGAGCUCUGAAAGGGUAAUGAGUGAAAGCUGUAACGUAAAUUUGAAACUGGGAAGUUACCAAAGGUGGCCUCAGAGGAAUGAACUGCUUUGUGACUAGUCAUCUUUUGACUGCUGAUCCUUGAGAUCACCUGUGACUUGAUGCUACAUAUAUUUUAGGAUAAGUGCUUUAAAGAAUUUAAAUCCAUUUAGCAAGAUUUACGUAUCUAACAGUUGAAGAGGAAACUAUUCUUUUUAAAGCUUUACUAUGACUGAGUUCUUGCUCCCAUGUUUUCUUGCUGUCUUGCACAUCGUGACGCCAGGUGGCAAGGCCCGGUACACACAGUACAGCAAACUGCCUUACUCUGUGUGGUAAAUACAAGGAGGAUAAUGGUUCCAUCACUGCUAGUACAAAUUGGGUCGUUUAUAGCAUUUGGUGUAUUAAUUUUAUGAUGGCAACUCAUAUGCAGUUGAAACUUAUAAAAACUUUAUACAUAGGAACAAGAUUCUUCAUACAUUUUUUUUUAAAGCAUAGAGGCCCUCCAUGUAUUUAGGAUUGUGUGAGCUUUAUUAGUUACAGGACCUGCAGACAAGAGUUCUUCUAGGUGGCUGUCUAUGAAAUUCAGUAAACACAUUAUCACCAUGAGGAAUUUGUGUAUUUUUUUAAAAAACCAAGGAAGCAAUUUAUGUGUUUGGAUCAGUCAUAUUCCUUGUAUUAAAACAAAACCAAAAAGAACAAUCAAAGCUUGAGACUGCCAAACCCACUGGUGUCCUAGUUUUCAGUUUGUACAGUGGAAAUUAUGCAGCGUUUCUGUAUGUCUUUGAAGAUUCACUGAACUCUGUAAACAGAAUUAAGAAUCAUCCUCUUCCCUGAGCACUGUCAUAUUUACAAGCUACUGGGACUUCACUUCAGCAGCUACCUUCAGACUCAACUGUUUUCUUAGCUUUUCCUGACAAUAAGUCUACAACUCUUUUGCUCUGAAGCGUCCUGAACGUGCCUUCUCUGGUCGAUAACUGAUCACUUUUAAGGAAAUACAAAAGCCUGUAGAAUCACAAAAUCUUUUCCAGUUUUAGGAAAAAGUAUUCUUAAGCCAAUGAUGGAUACUGCAAAGAAGCAUAAGCUUAAGUCUUUAUAAUUACUGGAUACAUAAAUUACUCUAAACUGUUUAUAUUAUAUAGUACCCAUGGCGUUUGUUGCCUUCCAAAUGCCGUGGAAAACAGGCCUGCAUAGAAGACUUAAUAACAUGUUCGUCAUGACAGACGGCCCACAUUUGAGAAUGCACUUAAACUCUUACCUUCUGUUGAGAUGGGAGUCCUUGCUUCUCACUGGAAAUCGAAAUAGCAGCUAGUGGCUAAACAAUAGCAGCUAAGCAAACAUUUUACUGAACAUAUUUAAAAUAUUUAAACCACUUACACUGUAUGCACGCUCCUCAGGAAAUGGCUAUUAUAUCUUUUGACUCACUAGUAUCUGUUUUAUUUCAGGUAUAGCAAAUCAUGAUGUUAGUGCUGACAGUUCUCUGGUUCACUUACUCCUCAUCCCAACCACACUGCAAAAGCUACGAGCAAAGAUGGGAGACAAUCUACCAACAAAGAUAACCACAGCCUGCUUGACAAGGGACACAUACUCAGUUCUUCAGCACUGUUGAGCCUCUUUUUGAUCCCACAUGUCUUUAAGAUACCAGAUUUCUGGUAUUCACUUCUUUCCUACUCAUAAAUGCUCUUGCUAAUGCCAACACUCCCCAUCCCUCAGUGCUUCCAGGGUUUUUUUGCCUCUCAACAAUACAUGCAGUAACUUCCCAGUUCCCAAAACAGUCUGGAUGCCAUUUCAGCUGUUUUAAAGACAGAUGGCUGUUGUGCUGAUUAGCCUGGAACAGAUAAGGGCUACAUUCUACCCGCCUUUCCUUUGAUGGCCACAUAACUUAGGGGGUUUAUCCUCUGCUAAGUGUCUAAUUGCCAUAAAACUCUUCACAGCCAAGGAGGCAGACAUCGGGAACAGAAAAAAUUAUGAAGGCAAGCUAUAUCGCAAGCAGGCCAGGCCAAUACGGUGUUGCACUGUUGACAGGAUGGAAGAACAAAACAGUAGGAGUUUUUACAUCCCCAACAACAUGAGCUGAAGAAAACAUCAGUAAACAGAAGCACUGGUUGUGAAAAGGAACUAAGAGAAGAUGGAAGGACAUGAAAGAGCAGAAAGCCAGCCAAAUCUCUAAAAAUGGGAACAGAGGCACUGAGCGUUUCCAAACAAGUACUUGAAUUCAAGUAAGGCUGAUUGUUUUUUUUAAUGAAGACAGUGAUAAAGAAGUUGCUUGUGUACUUGGACAUUCAAUAUCUGAAGGAGCAUACACGGUGUAAGGGAUGUGUUCCAGGCCAAACCUGUGUCCCAAUCCAAUGUUUAAGAAAAUGUGGGGUAACCUGGGGACGUUUGCCAAGUAUAGCAAUCAAGUAAAUACAGUCAGUUGACUUACUGUUGGGAAGCGGCUCUUCAGUUCUAAUUAUUCUGAUACCUUCACAGUGUGUUUGCUUUCUUUAUGUCUGAGCAGGAGUCAGUGACACAGAAGAACCCAGCUGGGACUUAAGCUGGAUGCAGAACGCCAAGGUGCAGUUUCCCAGCUCUGCUACAGCCAUCCUGUAACAACACCUUAAGCAAAUCACCCUGCCUUUAUUCCCACCCCUAACAGUGGGAAAAUAAUUUGUUUCACCAUUCUUUAUUAGGUCAUUACUUCAGCAGCACAGCAAAACACAUCAUAUAGCUUAAUUGUCACAUGUUUAAUUUGUGUCCCAAAUUUGUAGGACUUCUUUUAGAUCCCUUCAGACCCUAGUACUUCUAUACUCAUCAUUAUUACUACAGAUCUUCAUAACAGCUAAAUGUGGUGUAUAUAUAAAUUUGACCAAGGUAGGUGGUCAAUGCUUUUUCAUUUCUCAGUAAAAAUAACUGCUUUACUAAAUAAAAACUGUUAGUGGAACAAAUUCUUCUGUUAAUACAAAAAAAAACCAGCUUUGCAGCUGUUUAGUCAGCAGUAAAUUAACUGUUAAACUGCUUGCAAAAUCCUUCACUUGCUCACAGUGAAGUGGAUAACUUGCACUUACAUUAACCAUGUUUCAAACCAUUCUAGCCCCUUCCAUCAACAUUCUAACAUUUUGGAUUAAUAUACUCACCAUCUUCCUGCAUGUAAAGAAUCAUAGACACUGAAAAAUGAGGCUUUUACAACUAACUUAACAACUUUGCCCAUAAUGUUCUUAUGCUGUGAGACUGUUCCUCAGUACAGCUAUUAUGUCCCAAUUAUAUUAAUCUAUUCCUCAGAUUUAAAAGCAACUUAAUUAAAACAACCAUUAAGCACAUGUAACCUUGUUUGAGAAAGUAUAUUUGAACGGCAAAUGCUUCUCCCCACCCCUGCACAGCUCCAGCUGACAGAAAGAAUUAAUCAGUAAGAAGGAAAAUGCCAUUUGUCACAUGUGACUUAUAACACUUACCAAAUGCUUCAGAGAAAAGGAAAGGAACAAUACAGAAAGCAAAUAUGACAGGUCUACACUGCUGCAUAAGCUUUCAUUUACAAAUGUAAAGGAACUUUGAAAUAGCAUUUCUAAAAAAAUCACUCUAUCAUUGUAAUCCAUAUUAACUUCCAGUCUGUUGCUGGUAUAUUUUCUUAGCCAUAUGCCGUGACAACUAACUGGACAACCUAAAUUCCCGCCCAGUAAAAGUAUUCCCUUGCAAUAGAUUUCUCCCCCCCAGCCCCAAUUUCACUAGACGUUCUGCUUUGAACUUUUACUACAGCUAGUAAGAAAUGCAACUCCUGACUUGCAUUCCUUACUUCAUCACCUCAUAUAGUUUUUGUCACUUCACAGCUGUGCUUUCUGAUAGAAGCAGCUGUAGCCUAAACAUUUUGGUCUUGCUUGAUUUUUCAAUGGUUUUAAGAUUACUUUCCUUCCUUCAGAGAAAAAGCUAUCAACUGCACUAAUCCAACAUCCAGUGCACCAAGGCAUUGCAUCAGUCAGUCUUCUGAAGAACAAACAUGAAAUGUAAUUCCUGUUGCUCCCCUGGAUACUGUUUUCAUUGUCAUAUCCAAUGGUAUGCUGGAUGGGAUACUGUUCAACUGGAAGUUUCACUAAACAGUUGUUGAACACUAUUAAAACAUUCUAAUAGGUGUGA